AAACCCUCCACUUCUGCUCCUCUCUUUAUAUUCUCAUACUUUGGACGCUCAUCCUCACCUCCCAUCUUCACCUCCUGCUCUCUUUCUCUCUGUCUCUCUCUAUUUCUCUGUCUCUGAAACUUUCUUUCUCUGGAGAAGAUGAAGAUGACUUCCACUGGGUUUAAAGUUGUGAUGAUGCUGGCUUUGUUGGCCACCUCAUGCAUGGCACAAGCUCCAGGAGCAUCUCCAACACCGACACCCACACCCCCAGCGACCUCGCCUGCACCAUCAUCUCCGCCGUCCACUCCAGUUCCAUCUCCGGCACCAUCCUCUCCACCUACUUCAUCUCCAGCUCCUUCUCCCACCACUGGCUCAACCCCAUCACCCACUCCUUCUCCCUCCUCCACCUCACCUUCCACACCCCCUACUACUACACCAUCUCCUUCUCCCAGCAUCGCUUCUCCUCCGGCACCGCCGACAUCCGGUUCCCGUUCACCCCCUACUGCAACCCCUACUGAAUCACCCAACGCAGCUUCGCUGAUGGUUGGUUGAACAGAGUCGUCAUUGCCGGAACUGCCCUNNNNNNNNNNNNNNNNNNNNNNNNNNNNNNNNNNNNNNNNNNNNNNNNNNNNNNNNNNNNNNNNNNNNNNNNNNNNNNNNNNNNNNNNNNNNNNNNNNNNNNNNNNNNAAAUUACGGAAAGCUCUGUUUGUAUCAGGCCACUUGCGUUUUGUGGUCAAAAGAUUGGUUUAAUUUUUCAAAGUUUCUUCAUCAGAAGACAGACUUUAACACUGCAUCAUACUUCUUCUCAAAGUAACCGGCCGGUCGAUUCGUACUUUCCACCUCAAGCUUCAUGCCCAUUUUCUAAUUACUUAAUGAGUAGGGCUGCCAUGAUGCCAUCCCAUCCAUACACGCAUGCUAUUCAUUUUUUCUUAACUCUCAGAAGAAAAUGGGUAAGAUUUAGAACUCCCUAUUUUACUUAUAAAUGGUCUCCAUCAACCAAUUCUUCGGUCACAAAUAAACAGAACUCGGGCACUAACCAAUUUUCCACGUCUGAAUGCUGAAUGAUUUUAAACAGCUGUGGAACUAAUAAUAAACGUACAUGAGCCAGUGCGUAGAAAUCAAUCGCUUAAUUGAAUAAGUCCUGGCGGUUUCUGAGGAUGGCAGGACUAGGGCUUUUUUCAGUAACUCGUAUAAAAUAAACCUUAAAAUAAUAAUAAGACUUCGACUAAAAGACAAAAGGAAAAGUUGUGGAAGCAGCAGCCCAUCACCUUCGCAUCUUACAGCUGCUUCAAUGUCGUUUGCCAUGGAUUUUUUAUAUUUUUUUCUUGGUUAAAACAAUUCAACCGACAAUGUUUUGACUAUGUUUUGGGGGCCAUUUGAACCUUUCUGUAGGGAUAUGAUGAAGUCAUUCUAUUUUUGGGUUUCACAGGUAUCCAAAUGUAUUCGUCUUUAUCAGGGAUAGCAUUAGUCAUUAGAGGUUAAGACUAUGGCAACGGAUUCGGGACCCAAUAGCUCUUACCUUUGGCGGAAUCAAAUUGGUGUUUGUGAUUGUCAUACAAGAAAUGAGACAAAAUAUAUGGUCCAACUCAAUAGAAUAACAUAAUCUCUUGGUGACGGGUAGGGCGGCCACAUUGAGUUUGGGUUGAUGCCCAAUUCGAGUUCAAUCCAAGUUGACAACAAUUAAAAUUAAAUCUAAUCUGAUUUCCAAUCCAAUCUCCUUUUUCUAACUUUAGAUCGAUUAGAUUAUACUGCUUAUAAUAUUUUCAAUGUUUUUUUAUAAAAUUUUUUUUAAUAUAUUUAUAUAAAAAUUUAAAUAAUAAAUGAGAUAAAAUUUUAAAAUAAUAACUAACAAAAAAAAAUGUAUAAAUAAUAUUUUUUUUCUUAAAUUUUUUAAAAAUUGAAUAUUAUUAUAUAAGAUAAUAUAAAUUAUAAUUAUUAUAAAAAUGUUAAAUAAAGUUCAAGUUAAAAUCGAUAUGUUCAAACCCUUGAUAUGUUCAACCUAAAUUGAGUUUGAAUAAAAAAAACCUUAAACCUAGUCACUUGAUUAGUCAUAAUAUUAAAAAUGAUUAUUUAGAUCAAUUGAAUAAUCAGAUUAGAUUUGGGUUGAAUUAAGUUAACCUCAUCUAAGUUACACCCGUGGCAAAGAAUUAUUAAUAAUAGUUUGCCUAAAUGAAAAUUGAGGCAAGAAGGUGAAUUUUUUUUUAUUUAAGAACUAUUGGAUUCAAAAUGAUUUUUUAAUCAAAUAUAUUACUAAUAAAAAAGGUCAGAUUAGGCAAUAAAUCAACUUACCAACAUCAAAUUGUAAUAUGAAGCAGGAUAGAACUAAAGUACUGAGUCCAACCCCUUUUAAUCAAGAUUUCCAUUGGGCCCAGUUGUGUGUCUACCUAUUUGUAAGCGAAUAAGGCCCAACCGGCCCAUACUGAAGAACAAGAACCCAUCCUCCUGUGUAAGAUCUUUUGUACUUAUCCAAGCCUUCGAGCAUCAAUCAAACCAUUCGACCGCAAUGUUCUUGAUCUUCCAGAAACAUCUUCUAAGUUUCUGGACUGGAAACAACGGAUCAUUCUGGACUUCAUUACAUCAAGUGGAACGUGUCUAGCUCCUUCGAAUUCAGGCCACUUAUCUUUUAUCUUUAUGCCCUCAGAAGCCAGAAAAUAUUUAAAAAAAGGAGGAAAAAAAAAAAAACACCCAGAAGACAAUUUUGAAUGGACUACAAUACGCAAGAAAAACAAGAAGUAAUGAAUUUGCAUAUGAUUGGGAAGUGUGGGAAGCUGAAAAGAUAAGACAGAGGUGGAAGCACAACAUGACAAAUAUGAUUACCUAUGUUCUCACGUAGCUUAGAACUCACCAUCUUUGACUCGGGUAACCAUGACAUUGUAAUACACAGAUCUGACACAGCCUUCCCAUCGUGGAGAGGCCUAGUGUUUUUGAUUAUCUUCCUUUUCGGGAGACUCUGGGCACCACAAAAAUCAAUGACAUGUAGGGCAGUUUCCAUAAUAUUAGUCUGAACAAUUAAUUUUGUAGUACCAUUUUCCAAAAAAUGGACGACAGGAUUCUGUUCAAGGGUUUUUAAUCGUUUGACAAGUAGUUGAAAUUAGAGGAGUUGGAACACGUUUUGACAGGAGCUGGGGGAACUAGAAAUACCUAUUAAUUAAUGAAACGACAAGGUUGGGGAGAACUACAAUACCCAACAGCCAUAUAAAGGACCAAGUUAAUGACCUAAAAUCACUUCUUUUGGUUUCAGCUCUUCUCUUAAGUUUUCUCUCUCAAACCUUUUGGGGGGUGGCAUCUGUCUGAUCAUUGAAAAUCCAGGAAUUAGGGAGAAAGAAUCCACGGUCGCAACAUGUCCACAAACGGGGAAGUGAUCGAGAAAGACGCAAAGGUUCCCUUAUUGCAAGAUUAUUUAUCAAGCUAUGGAGAAGAGAGGCAUGAUAGGGAUCUUGCAGGGAGGAUGUGGGAAGAAUCGAAGAAGCUAUGGCACAUAGUGGGGCCUGCGAUAUUCAGCCGAAUUGCCUCCUACUCCAUGCUUGUGAUCACCCAAGCCUUUGCUGGCCACCUGGGUGAUCUUGAGCUCGCUGCUAUCUCCAUUGCCAAUAAUGUCAUCGUCGGUUUCGACUUCGGUCUCUUGGUACACACGACUCUAUCUCUUCUCUCUUUCAUGGGGCCAUGGCCUUUUCUGUUAUCGAUUCUCUUAUGUGGGUGCUUUGGCUUUUUUCCUUUUCUAUGAUUUGUCAGCUGGGGAUGGCAAGUGCUUUAGAAACGCUAUGUGGGCNNNNNNNNNNNNNNNNNNNNNNNNNNNNNNNNNNNNNNNNNNNNNNNNNNNNNNNNNNNNNNNNNNNNNNNNNNNNNNNNNNNNNNNNNNNNNNNNNNNNUUUAAUUGGCUUCUACUUUUUCGGCAGCAGGACAAUAAAUGGGUGGGAAAUGAUGAUUCCUCUGGCUUUCUUUGCUGGAACCCGGGUAAUUUCCUUUUCUAUCCUUGUUGUCUUGGAUGAUGGAUCACGGAAGUGAUGGAACCCAUGUGCCGUAUUGUGAGCAAUUUCAUGCCACGUUCCUUCCGCUCCGUGGCUCACCAUAGAUAGGGUUUGGUUGGUAUUCAAAAUAUGAGGUCUAGAACACCAAUCGACUGAGUCAUUUGUGGCAAACUCAGAGAUUGCUUUUCGAUGGUAUUAUUAUUAUUAUUUACGGCGGUUCAUCAAAUUUUGAAAAUAAUACUUUGUCAACCUAAAUAAGGAUGUUGAUGGAUGACCUUAUCUUAGGGUCCGUUGCAAUAUGCAUCUCAAACGUAUUCCUAGUCCGUGAUAUCUUCAAAGAGACUUAACACCAUAAAUUUUGAAAUGAAAGAUACUAGAAUGCCAUCGUACAGAGCACUUCCUUUAAGAAUGGUUUAUAGGUUGAGAGAAAGAUUUACUUCAUUCCUUUUUCCUGACAUAGACUUAUCUUUUAUAUUCAUACAUAAGACAGACAGACAGACAUGGUUCCAAUAAUAAUAUUUGGAACUCCAUCAACAUGGGGCGAGGCCCUAGGUUAGGUAUGCCGAAUGAGUGGGACAAAAAAGAGUAAUGAGAGACGGGUCCAGCAGGAGAAAUUAGGACCAGUACUAGAAAUAUGGGUGAAUGGAAAAUGGUGAAGUUGGUGAAUGAUGUGUCUUUCUUCAUUGGGUUGCAUUUUGCCAAGAAAGUUCAAGUAAUCUUUAACCUGCCGACAAGCUUUCGAGUUUCAACAUCAAUAGGACAAUUAUUUCUUUCGUGUCAAAAGAAGCCACUUGCUGACAAAAUUUUUGUAUUCUUGAUUGAUCAAAUAGGAUAGGAUCUACACAUAAAAUACCAUUUCUAAUUAGAUAUAAUAUUCUUGAUUAUAUUUAUAUUUGGUUUGUAAAUAAAAUAAAAAAAAAUAUAACGGUAACCCAAGUUUAUAAAAUCCAAACUUCAUUCAUAUAUUUAAAAAUAGUUAGAAUUUUUUUUUACUUUUAGCUCAAAGGUAUUGCUAAUUUUGACAUUUAAGUGUUACCUUUUAAUGAUACAGAGUGAGGGUGGCAAACGAGCUGGGUGCAGGCAAUGGAAAAGGAGCCAAGUUUGCAACGAUUGUAGCAGUGACCACAUCCAUUGUGAUCGGCCUCUUCUUCUGGCUACUCAUUAUCUUCUUCCACAAUGAGCUUGCCCUAAUAUUCUCGUCGAGUGAACCAGUCUUGAAGGCAGUUAACAAGCUCUCCAUCCUCUUAGCCUUCACGGUUCUCCUCAACAGCGUUCAGCCAGUCCUCUCUGGUAAACUCUUGUCGUCUUAUCUGUGAUUUCUUCUCAAUCUCAUGAAUCUCUAUGAGAAGUCCAUUUGCAUGCACUUAUAUAACAUUAGGAUUUCCUGAACAGGGGUGGCUGUGGGAUCUGGAUGGCAAUCUUAUGUCGCUUAUAUAAACCUAGGCUGCUACUAUCUGAUCGGGGUCCCCCUCGGCUUUUUGAUGGGAUGGGGCUUCCAUCAGGGAGUCAUGGUAAGAAAUUUUGCAAAAUUCAGAUUUCAAUUCAUGCUUACUUGGUAUGUUCUGACCCUACUGCAUAUGGACAUGAUUAGGGUAUCUGGGCUGGUAUGAUCUUUGGAGGAACUGCACUGCAGACCUUGAUAUUGGCCAUCAUUACCAUUCGGUGUGACUGGGAAAAGGAGGUAAAAAAAAAAUACUAACUUGUGCGGUUUUUGAAUUUUAGUAUGCUUUAGCACAUGCCAAAUCAUAUGCAUUUCAUUUGAUUUAAUUUGGGUUGAAAUUGCAGGCAGAGAAAGCGAGCCUGCAUGUAAAGAAGUGGGCAGAGUCGAUUUAAAGCUGUGAUGGGCUGGCUUAUUGAAUUUUUAUUUGGCAUUUUUCCUUGGAAAAAGAUUCCACGUUUAUAACAUGUUGUGUAACUCCACCAAAAUAGUCCGAGUGUUAUCAUUCUUAGAUUUUUGCAAUCCAAAUUGACUAUUGGGAUGAAUUGAUAUUUUGUUGGUCAAACCAAAAACAAUUAAUUGGGUUUAGGGGAGGUUAGCUGUGUGUAUUUGACAAUUUGUGGCCUGACACACACAUUGGUAUCCACAGCUGAUAACUGGCGGCCCAAUAUAUGGAUGGUUAAACCCAAUAGAAUUGCCUAACCCCCUCCCAUCGAAACCCAGCCCAAACCCAAACAUAAUUGCAAAUGAUAUUCUUUUGUCAAAUUUAAUUGAAUUUGGUUGAAGCGGCUGACUCGGGUGCCUUGGGGCAGUGUUGGAUGUAGAGGAAGCAUGCCACAUGAUCACAUACAGUGACAGUUGUCCAAUCUCCAUUGCAUGCAGUUUGGAUAUAUACUGACUACAGAGUGGGAAAUUGAAGCUCAUUCCCCUGCUGCCAAUCAACGCUGAAGGCUGAUGCCACCGACAAAGGUUAGGUUAGCUUUGCUUUUAUGACUGGAACCCACACUACCCACUACCCUCUGACCUCUCCGUGGGGACGACACUCUCAGAGCAGACCACCGUGAGCAUUUCCUGGGAUUGAAUUCUGUCCUUACUUGAAGGACUUUUUUAUAAAAAAAAAAUGGAUUUUAACUUUUUGUUAAAAAUAAUUAUUUUUGAAUUUCGGUUGUAUUUUUUAUUUUAUUUUUGAAUCAGUUUUUAUCAGUAAAUAAUAAAA
rnacentral:lncRNA from 1 species